rnacentral:rRNA from 1 species
UACAUGGGGUGCAAACGUUGCUCGGAAUCAUUGGGCGUAAAGCGCGCGUAGGCGGUUACUUAAGUCGAAUGUGAAAGCCCUCGGCUUAACCGAGGAAGUGCAUCCGAAACUGAGUAGCUAGAGUACGAAAGAGGGUCGCGGAAUUCCCGGUGUAGAGGUGAAAUUCGCAGAUAUCAGGAGGAACACCCGUAGCGAAGGCGGCACUCUGGGCCGGAACUGACGCUGAGGAGCGAAAGCGUGGGGAGCGAACAGG